GAUUUCUGGUUCGGCGCACUUGGCCCGCCUCGGUUUACGGGGUUGUGUGCCGGCGUCCGCCAUCCAUCCUUCGGGUGAACCGGCCUGCCCUUCACUGGGUUUGGUCCGGCUUGAUCCCGAUCUUUUACUUUGAAAAAAUUAGAGUGUUUCAAGCAGGCUUUAUGCUAUGAAUACAUUAGCAUGGAAUAAUAAUUUAGGACUUCGGUUCUAUUUUGUUGGUUUCUAGGACUGAAGUAAUGAUUGAUAGGGAUAGUUGGGGGUGCUAGUAUUCAGCGGCCAGAGGUGAAAUUCUCGGAUUCGCUGAAGACUAACUUAUGCGAAAGCAUU
rnacentral:rRNA from 1 species